rnacentral:rRNA from 1 species
UACGUAGGGUGCGAGCGUUGUCCGGAAUUACUGGGCGUAAAGAGCUCGUAGGUGGUUUGUCGCGUUGUCCGUGAAAACUCACAACUCAAUUGUGGGCGUGCGGGCGAUACGGGCAGACUGGAGUACUGCAGGGGAGACUGGAAUUCCAGGUGUAGCGGUGAAAUGCGUAGAUAUCUGGAGGAAUACCGGUGGCGAAGGCGGCAUCCUGGACCGGCAUUGACGCUGAGGAGCGAAAGCUAGGGGAGCAAACGGG